UGAAAGUUUUAUUCUUGCUUUUUCAUUUAAUGUUUGUUUGUUUUAUAUGUAAGUUUUUGCGUGAAUAUCUUUGGUUCUCUUGAUGGGGAUUAGUGUAAUAUUAUAUUUUGUUUAAUUCUCAUUAGUUAUUGUUGGUUAAUCAAGUAUUCUUGUAUUUAGCAAUACAUUUUAGUUUCGGUUAAAUUUUGUGCCAGCAGCCGCGGUUAUACCUUGGAGGCAUUUGAAUGUAUUCGGUGUUGUAGUUACUAUGUUAAGAAAUGUUUAAUUUUAUUUGUUGCAGUUUAUUGGGUGAAAUUUUUAUUGUUGUUUAUGUUUUAUUUAAUUUUUUAGAGGCUAUGAAACUCCUUUUAUAGACUAGGAUUAGAUACCCUAUUAUUGUGGAGCGUUAAGUUUUUGUGCCUGAGUAGUAUUAGUUAUGUUCUUGAAACUUAAAGAAUUUGGCGGUAUCUUAUUCCAUCCAGAGGAAUCUGUCUCGUUAUCGAUAGUCCGCGUUGGACCUUACUUAGUUGCUUUGGUUUGUAUACCGCCGUUUAUUGAUUAUCUUUUUAGGGUUUGUUUAAUUUUCUGGUUUCUUUAUUUUGAUUUAUUUCAGGUCAAGGUGCAGCUUGUUUCUAAGUGGAAUGAUGGAUUACAUUGUUAUUUGUUUAUUUGGAUUAUUGAUUUUAAUAUUGAUGUGAAAUUGGAUUUGGUUGUAAUGUUUUGUAGAUUGUUUGCAUGAUAAUUGGUUCUGGGAUAUGUACACAUCGCCCGUCGCUCUCGUUUAUUUGUUAAUGAGAUAAGUCGUAACAAAGUGGUUGUACCGGAAGGUGCAGCUGGAUUGAU
rnacentral:ncRNA from 1 species